rnacentral:lncRNA from 1 species
CUCUCAUCUGGCAGCAUUACAAUGAGAUGUACGCCUUCUUGUAUCUAUUUUUUUUGCCACGUAAUGUAAGUGCUACUAUAAAUGGGAGAAGCUAUCGCAUGGUAAGAUGCAGAAUCGUUCUUUGACUUCCUCCAGACAACUGCCAUGAAUAGACAUACAGUAAUUUGCCUGAUUUUAAUGCUCUGCUUUGCUGUUUACCUCUGCAGCGCUGGUAGCUCAGGUACAACUUGUUUCAACCAUAUAUGCAAAAACGGAACAUGCCCACCCGGCUGCAGAUGUCAAAACAGGCACGAACAAGCAUAUGGGUUUGGUGAAAAAUGUGUAGAAGAGUGGACAAGCUAGUGUUGGUCAUGAAAUGCAUUGUUAAAUAAACUAUGAAAUCAGCAUGUCCUGGUGACUGGCAGAUUUCAUUUCUC